AGCCACGUGGUGAGCACAGAGCGAACUAUUCUUUCGCCUUUUACUAAAGAAUACCGUGUGCUCGCCGCUAUUAGUGGCAUACACAAAUUUUUGAAAGGGUUUCUCUCAAGAGAAGCU